UCAUCCAUAUUUGGACACAGUGGGUCACGCUUGUAAUCUAACACUUUGGGAGGCUGAGGCAGGUGGAUCACCUGAGGUCGGGAGUUUUAGACUAACCGGACCAACGUGGUGAAACCCUAUCUCUAUAAAAAAAUACAAAAAUUAGCUGG